AUGGCAGCGAAGCUAAUCCCGAUCGCCGUCGUUGGGUCAAGUAAGAGCGCGCCACCACCUCAAGAGGCCGGCAGCCCAUGGCCGGACCUCCCGCCAGAGUUGCUGCGGCUGGUGGUCCUGCGCGUGCCAUCCCACGCCGACCGCGUCCGCCUCCGCGCGGUGUGCCGGCCGUGGCGCUCCGCGGCGAGCGACCUGCCCCCGCUGCUGCCAUGGCUCGCCCUCCGCGACGGCACCUUCCUCAGCCUCCCCGAUGGCGUUGUCCACCGCCUGCCCGCCAUCCCACCCAAUGUAGCCAGCCGUCUCCACCGGCGGCAUGCUCUUCCUGGUGCACGACGACGGCGACUGCUCCCUCAUGAACCCUCUCACCGGGUUCAGAUGACAAGAUUGAGUCGCCUCUACCUCGUCCGGUACAACAUCCGCAAGAUUGUGGUUUCGGACAACAUGUUCGUCGUUUCAAGCGGCAACUACUCCCGAUUGCACAUCUUUGCCCGCGGGCCGCGGCCGCAAGCAGGCUCCAUUAAGCUGCGUCCGGUGAUUGCCGAUGACAUGGCACUCUUCAAAGGCAAGCUCUACAUGCUCACCGGUUGGACUUCGCCGGAUGCGCACUGCAUCAUUCGUCAUCGGGAGCUCCAUGUCCUGGACUUGCGGUCGGGCCUGCAGCACCACCAGCACCAACCAUCCGUCCAAUGCUGUAUACCAGGCACCACAACAGAUUGCUUCUCAGACGGGGUCUACAAGCGCUAUUACUACCUGGUCGUGUCCGGUGACCGGCUGCUCAUGGUUGAACGGGAGAUCGAAGUGGACCGCGCCUCUAAUAAACGAAUCCGGACUCGGUGGCUCAAGGUCUUUGAGGCAAUGGACCUGGACUCGGACUGCGGCCAUGGACGUUGGAGGAAGGUUGAUAGGUUGAAGGGGCAUGCUCUUUUUGUCAGCCUAGAAUGCUCUUUCGCGCUCCCAGCUUCUGUUGAUGGCUGCGCGGUUGGAGUUGGAGCUCAGGAAGACUGCGUCUACUUUGUAAGAGAGAUUAAGCUCAGCACUCACCCUGCAUGGGAGGUAAAGGCCGAGGACGAUCAUCUCUGUUGCGGCGUGUACAAUAUCAUAGACCAGACCGUGGCGCCAUUACCCACAGAGAUGCUGGCCAAGACAGCGGUAUCACAUGCCGGUCCAUGGUCCUUGACCUGGUUCCCUUUGCCCCCAAACUGA
rnacentral:rRNA from 1 species